rfam:Ovis aries breed Texel chromosome 1, whole genome shotgun sequence.
UCCCUGGUGUCUUAAACAGUAAAGAAUCUGCCUGCAAUGCAGGAGACUUGGGUUCAAUGCCUGAGUUGGGAA